GAUCCUGGCUCAGGAUGAACGCUAGCUACAGGCUUAACACAUGCAAGUCGAGGGGCAGCAUGGUCUUAGCUUGCUAAGGCCGAUGGCGACCGGCGCACGGGUGAGUAACACGUAUCCAACCUGCCGUCUACUCUUGGACAGCCUUCUGAAAGGAAGAUUAAUACAAGAUGGCAUCAUGAGUCCGCAUGUUACACNUGUAAGUUAAGUACGUUCGAGA
rnacentral:rRNA from 1 species